AACGAACGCUGGCGGCAUGCCUAACACAUGCAAGUCGAACGAGACCUUCGGGUCUAGUGGCGCACGGGUGCGUAACGCGUGGGAACCUGCCCUUAGGUUCGGAAUAACUCCCCGAAAGGGGUGCUAAUACCGGAUAAUGUCUUCGGACCAAAGAUUUAUCGCCUUUGGAUGGGCCCGCGUUGGAUUAGCUAGUUGGUAGGGUAAAAGCCUACCAAGGCGACGAUCCAUAGCUGGUCUGAGAGGAUGAUCAGCCACACUGGGACUGAGACACGGCCCAGACUCCUACGGGAGGGAGCAGUGGGGAAUAUUGGACGAUGGGCGAAAGCCUGAUCCAGCAAUGCCGCGUGAGUGGUGAAGGCCUUAGGGUUGUAAAGCUCUUUUACCCGGGAUGAUAAUGACAGUACCGGGAGAAUAAGCUCCGGCUAACUCCGUG
rnacentral:rRNA from 1 species